rnacentral:tRNA from 4 species
GCCCCUGUAGCUCAGUGGAUAGAGCGUCUGCCUCCGGAGCAGAAGGUCGCUGGUUCGAAUCCAGUCGGGGGCA